UACAGAGGUCCCAAGCGUUGUUCGGAUUCAUUGGGCGUAAAGGGUGCGUAGGUGGCGCCAUAAGUCAGGUGUGAAAUCUCGGGGCUCAACUCCGAAACUGCACUUGAUACUGUGGUGCUCGAGUACUGGAGAGGAGAUUGGAAUUUACGGUGUAGCAGUGAAAUGCGUAGAUAUCGUAAGGAAGACCAGUGGCGAAGGCGAAUCUCUGGACAGUUACUGACACUGAGGCACGAAGGCCAGGGGAGCAAACGGG
rnacentral:rRNA from 1 species